rnacentral:lncRNA from 1 species
GAAUGCUUUACGCGGCGCCUAACCGUGGGCUGGUUUCCCAGAGAGAACCGGUGUCCUAGAUCUCUCUGGACCCCGGGAAACUCUCCUCAGACCCGGUUUCCUGGCAGUGGGCCUGGGAGAGUCAGCAGUGAGCAGCGCAGCGGUGGGCACCGCAGCCUGGCUUCCCUGGAACUUCCCAGGUGUCACACUCCUCAGCCAGUUCUGCUCACCUGUGAGUUUGAACUAAGAGCCCUGGAUGGUGAAGAGAAGAAGCUGUAGCAAAGGAUCCAGAGUUCCCAUGGACACGGAGUCUCUUCACAGCAGUCAACUCUAACUAAGACAACAUUCAUCAAGGAGCUACUUUCCCAGAACACAGUAUUGCUUCAACAUCUAUUUAUCUUGCCUUCUGCAUGGCACACAGUUAAGGUAUGUAUCAGAAAGUUUUUGUUAAUUCUGAUCAUCCACAAAAGGAUAUUUCAUCAACAACAAGAAGUCUCUGCUGAGAGUGUCAUUCUGGAGAAUUGUUAGUUUACCAAUAGUAACAAAUAUAACCAGAAAUUGGUUAUUGGAUAUUUUCAGUAAUGUAAUAAUCUCUAUUAGCUUUAUUUGUAUUCAUUUUCCAGUGAAUGUUCACAUAUGUGGUAAAUAUGGGCAAGUCUUAAAUCGAAGGCCCAAAGCAUUUUGCCCAUCAGUGUGUGAAUACCCAAGAGAAGUCUUACACACAUAAUGAUCUUGGGAAUGAUUUAUGAAUCCUCACCAUGUAUACUUUUUUUUAACACAAAUGAUACUACAGAAAAUUGUAAUAAAUGAUGACAUAUUAACUAUAAAUAUUAUUCUAUUGACACAUUAAGCAUGAACAGUCAUAAAAGGUUUGUAUAUUGGAGAAGGACUUUAUGAAUAUAAAGACUGACAAGUGUUUUAAUUUGUAUUCAAACAUCAAAGUCCAAUAAUAAACCCACUCCAGACAACAGUGCACAAAAGAAGAGACUGAUAACUACUUUGAUACUAAGUACAACUUAUGAUAAAAACAAAUCUAUAUUGGAAAAAAAACCUACCAAUGCAGGAAAUUCAACAACAAUGGACUGCCUUCCAGAGAGAACGUGACAGGGAUAAGCUCCCAGCCUUCUCCAAAGCUGAAAGCCAACUACAAUUAAAUGUUUUCCUUUAUGAGAUGAGUAGUGGUCAUGGAGUCUCUUCACAUAUACUCUUCUUUUAGCUGCCUAUGAGACAGUCUUCUGUUUGCCUUCAGAACAAGAUGUAGAACUCUCAGCUCCUCCAGCACCAUGCCUGGCUGGAUGCUGUUAUGCUUCCUGCCAUGAUGAUAAUGGACUAAACCUUUGAACCUAUAUGACUACACCUAUUAAAUAUCC